UACGUAGGGUGCGAGCGUUAAUCGGAAUUACUGGGCGUAAAGCGUGCGCAGGCGGUUCGUUGUGUCGGUGGUGAAAUCCCCGGGCUUAACCUGGGAAUGGCCAUGGAAACUGGCGAACUGGAGUGCGGCAGAGGGGGGUGGAAUUCCGCGUGUAGCAGUGAAAUGCGUAGAUAUCCGGAGGAACACCGGUGGCGAAGGCGGCUUCCUGGACCGAUACUGACGCUGAGGCGCGAAAGCUAGGGGAGCAAACGGG
rnacentral:rRNA from 1 species